rnacentral:tRNA from 1 species
AGGGAGGUGGCUCAGCAGUAGAGCACAGGGCUUCCAUGCAUGAUGCCUCAGAUUCAAUUUCUAGCAUCACUU